CAUUAAGAAGCUAUGUACCAGCACUAGCCUUUUAAGCUAGAGAAAGAGAGGUAAGCCCCCUCCUUAAUGA
rnacentral:tRNA from 1 species